rnacentral:rRNA from 1 species
UACGGGGGGGGCAAGCGUUGUUCGGAAUUACUGGGCGUAAAGGGCCAGUAGGCGGCCAACUAAGUCCGACGUGAAAUCCCAAGGCUUAACCUUGGAACUGCGUCGGAUACUGGAUGGCUUGAAUUCGGGAGAGGGAUGCAGAAUUCCAGGUGUAGCGGCGAAAUGCGUAGAUAUCUGGAGGAAUACCGGUGGCGAAGGCGGCAUCCUGGACCGACAUUGACGCUGAACGGCGAAAGCCAGGGGAGCAAACGGG